AUAAAUUAAGUUGCUACGCAAUGAUGCACCAACCUCGCUUCAGCAAACACAAAAAAAAACAACAAGAACAAGGUAUGUGUGUUUUCCUAUCAUUAAGUGCAUUUUGCUAUUAAUAAUAUUUUUGAAACCAUGUAAUAAUUUAAUUUUAUGUUUCAUGUGAGCUGUUAAUGAUAAUGGGUUUUUUUUUAACAUGUAGCACAUUAGGUAUAUAUACAUACAUUUGUAUGUACAUGUAGUUUUGAUAUGCCCACACAAUCUUGUGAAAACAAAAUAGCUUUAUAAUGUGAUAUAAACAAGAAGACAAAAUCUAAAAAAGGUGAAUAAUUAUAACUUUUUUUUUCCUUUCUGUAGUCUCCUAGUAAUUAACAGGAUGGUUAUGUUCUCCUUAUUUGUCCUUUUUGGAUGCGUUUCUGUGAUUAGAUCAGAAACUUGUUAUGGACAGAAGGAAAUUUCACUUAUAUCAAGUAUAGAGUCAACUUUAAAUACUUUGAAAAACAGUUUGAAAGGUAA
rnacentral:lncRNA from 1 species